UACGAAGGGGGCUAGCGUUGUUCGGAUUUACUGGGCGUAAAGCGCACGUAGGCGGAUUGGUCAGUUAGAGGUGAAAUCCCGAAGCUCAACUUCGGAACUGCCUUUAAUACUGCCAGUCUAGAGUCCGGAAGAGGUAAGUGGAACUCCUAGUGUAGAGGUGGAAUUCGUAGAUAUUAGGAAGAACACCAGUGGCGAAGGCGGCUUAACUGGUCCGGUACUGACGCUGAGGUGCGAAAGCGUGGGGAGGCAAACAGGAUUAGAUAC
rnacentral:rRNA from 1 species